AAUGAACGCCGGCGGCAGGCCUAACACAUGCAAGUCGAACGGAUCCUUCGGGAUUAGUGGCGGACGGGUGAGUAACGCGUGGGAACAUACCCAAAGGUACGGAAUAGCCUCGGGAAACUGGGAGUAAUACCGUAUGUGCUCGAAAGAGGAAAGAUUUAUCGCCUUUGGAUUGGCCCGCGUUGGAUUAGGUAGUUGGUGGGGUAAUGGCCUACCAAGCCGACGAUCCAUAGCUGGUUUGAGAGGAUGAUCAGCCACACUGGGACUGAGACACGGCCCAGACUCCUACGGGAGGCAGCAGUGGGGAAUCUUAGACAAUGGGGGAAACCCUGAUCUAGCCAUGCCGCGUGAUCGAUGAAGGCCUUAGGGUUGUAAAGAUCUUUCAGGUGGGAAGAUAAUGACUGUACCACCAGAAGAAGCCCCGGCUAACUCCGUGCCAGCCGCCGCGGUA
rnacentral:rRNA from 1 species